rnacentral:rRNA from 1 species
UACAUGGGGUGCAAACGUUGCUCGGAAUUAUUGGGCGUAAAGCGCGCGUAGGCGGUUACUUAUGUCGGAUGUGAAAGCCCCCGGCUCAACUGGGGAGGGUCACGCGAUACUGAUCGACUCGAAGGCAGGAGAGGGAAGUGGAAUUCCCGGUGUAGUGGUGAAAUGCGUAGAUAUCGGGAGGAACACCAGUGGCGAAGGCGACUUCCUGGCCUGUUCUUGACGCUGAGGCGCGAAAGCGUGGGGAGCAAACCGG